rnacentral:rRNA from 1 species
UACGUAGGGAGCAAGCGUUGUUCGGAUUUACUGGGCGUAAAGGGCGCGUAGGCGGCAGAUCAAGUCAGCUGUGAAAUCUCCGAGCUUAACUCGGAACUGUCAGCUGAUACUGUUUUGCUAGAGUGCGGAAGGGGCAAUCGGAAUUCUUGGUGUAGCGGUGAAAUGCGUAGAUAUCAAGAGGAACACCUGAGGUGAAGACGGGUUGCUGGGCCAACACUGACGCUGAGGCGCGAAAGCCAGGGGAGCAAACGGG